GGAGAAAGCCGGAUGAUCGCUGUCCGCUCGCUUUGCGGCGUCGCGGGGAGAGGAAAGUCCGAACACCUUGAAAAUGGGUAGUCCCUAACGGGGACCGGGAGUAGAAGUGUCAAAGGCGCUCGCGCGAAUCUUUGAACUUGAACGAAGCCCAGGGAAAGUCGAACCGCGCUCGGUCGCAGCCUGCCUGUUCGUAAGGACGGGCAGCGCUGGCAACAGAAACAUACCGCCUGACGUCCUUCCUUAUCGGGACACGGCAAGGGUGAAAUCGUGGGGAGUCGGAUGACGACUCGUCCGCCAAAGUCCGGCUCAACCCGGACGGAGGUGGAUGUAAGAGCCCACGCAGACCGAUUGUGAAAUCGGACUGGGGCAAACCCUACCCGGUGCAAGACCAAGUAGGUCCCGCUUUCCGGCGGGACGGGUUGGUCGCUAGAACCGGUCAGCAAUGGCCGGACCAGAGAGAUGAUCAUCCAGCCUUCGCCGAGGCCUCGGCUGGCAGGCACGUUCAACGAAGAACUUGUCCGCCGGAGCCUUGGCGGAGGUGGACAGAAUUCGGCUUACAGGCUUUCUCCGGCA
rnacentral:RNase_P_RNA from 1 species